rnacentral:rRNA from 1 species
AGUAACUGCGAGUGAAGCGGGAAAAGCUCAAAUUUAAAAUCUGGUGGCCUUUGUCCAUCCGAGUUGUAAUUUAGAGAAGCGUCUUCCGCGCUGGACCGUGCACAAGUCUCCUGGAAUGGAGCGUCAUAGAGGGUGAGAAUCCCGUCUUUGGCACGGACGCACCAGGGCUUUUGUGAUGCGCUCUCGAAGAGUCGAGUUGUUUGGGAAUGCAGCUCAAAAUGGGUGGUGAACUCCAUCUAAAGCUAAAUAUUGGCGAGAGACCGAUAGCGAACAAGUACCGUGAGGGAAAGAUGAAAAGCACUUUGGAAAGAGAGUGAAACAGUACGUGAAAUUGUUGAAAGGGAAACGCUUGAAGUCAGUCGCGUCGCCCGAGACUCAACCUCGCCUCGGCUUGGUGUACUUCUCGGCCGACGGGUCAGCAUCAAUUUUGCCCCUUGGAUAAUGGCGAGGGAAAUGUGACACCUUUAUGGGUGUGUUAUAGUCUCUAGUCGCAUGCAAGGGUCGGGAUUGAGGAACUCAGCACGCGCCUUUGGGCGUCGGGGCGUUUCGCCCACGAUACGUGCUUAGGAUGUUGGCGUAAUGGCUUUAAACGACCCGUCUUGAAACACGGACCAAGGAGUCUAACAUGCCCGCGAGUGUUCGGGUGGAAAACCCGUGCGCGCAAUGAAAGUGAAAGUUGGGACCUCUGUCGUGGAGGGCACCAACGCCCGGACCAGACCUUCUGUGACGGAUCUGCGGUAGAGCGUGUAUGUUAGGACCCGAAAGAUGGUGAACUAUGCCUGAAUAGGGUGAAGCCAGAGGAAACUCUGGUGGAGGCUCGUAGCGAUUCUGACGUGCAAAUCGAUCGUCAAAUUUGGGUAUAGGGGCGAAAGACUAAUCGAACCAU